rnacentral:rRNA from 1 species
CCUACGGGUGGCAGCAGUGAGGAAUAUUGGUCAAUGGGCGCGAGCCUGAACCAGCCAAGUAGCGUGAAGGAUGACUGCCCUACGGGUUGUAAACUUCUGUUAUAAAGGAAUAAAGUGAGGCACGUGUGCCUUUUUGUAUGUACUUUAUGAAUAAGGAUCGGCUAACUCCGUGCCAGCAGCCGCGGUAAUACGGAGGUUCCGAGCGUUAUCCGGAUUUGAUGGGUUUAAAGGGAGCGUAGAGGGGUUGUUAAGUCAGUUGUGCAAGUUUGCGGCUCAACCGUAAAAGUGCAUUUGUUACUGGCAGUCUUGCGUACAGUUGAGGUAGGCGGAAUUCGUGGUGUAGCGG